ensembl:lncRNA
AAUUGAUUCAGCUAUUCCCCCAGAAGUCUGGGGUCAAAAGGUCAAAAGGAGACGGCACCACGCCGGGGUGGAUCCAGAUCUCAGGCAACAGCGCAGGGUUGCCAGGUCCUGCAAAAAACGUGCCCCCCACAUACCGUUCAAAAUCCACCCAAAAUGUCCUAGAAGCAUCCCAAAUAAAAAAUGAUAUUAUUGGCCAUUUUGGCCAACGUUUUGAAAGUAAUAAUAUUUGAGGGAAUAUUUUUUUGUUGUUGUUUUAGCAGCGAAAUGCACCGUGUGCGUGUGUGCGUGUUGUGGUAACUCGGUUUGGUAGAGGGGCUCAAGUAAGGACCAGGCAGGGUGUGAGGGUCCAAAGCCUCAAACGGCGGUUUAUUACACUUGGUUUGGUAUCCACACAAGCGCACGCUGUACAUCGAAGUCGGGGGGGUGGUUGCUCGAGUCGUCGUCCACGUGUCCGCCGGGCGGCUCACUUUACGGUCUCGGUCCUCUGCGUCGUCCUCUCUUCCACUCGACUUCUGCCGAUCUGUCGUUUGGUGGCCUCCUUUUAACACCUGGGUGCCUCCUGCCCAGGUGCUCCUCGUUUCCCCGAUUGCGGCUCUCGGGGUUUGUCGCCGGCUGUUGGCCACCGGCGGUAUAUCCCGGCCUCGACUCUCCCGAACAGGGGGCGUGGCACCGGGGGAAUGCCACAGUGUGUGUGUGUGUGUGUGUGUGUGUGUGUGUGUGUGUGUGUGUGUGUGUCUGUGUCUGUGUGUCUGUGCGUGCGUGUGUGUGCUUGUGUGUGCUUGUGUGUGUGUGUCUGUGCGUGUGCGUGCGUGUGUGUGUGUGUGUGUGUGUAUAACACGCUAUUUUAUGUUGAAAUGCGACGUAAUCCAGUGUUCACGAAUAGUACACUGUCAACGUAUGCUUUUGGCGACUGGGUUGGCUCUCAGAUAUACGUGUUUCUAACAAGAUGAUAUCAUUAAAAGUUACAUAAAGUAACAGUUUAAUAACACAAACGCAGGAAGCACGUGAGCUGCUAGUUUAGCGAAAGCAACCUGACGUCGUUGAAACAUGCGAGCGAGCCGACCAAAUCCUAAUAACUAUAAAACUAAAGAUCAGACACAAUCACUGACCGAAGAUUAUGCAAGUAAAAAGUAUAUUUCUCGCUAGAAAUGUUAUUAGAAACACGUUUAACGGUGAAUCGGUCCUAAAAUAUUGCAUUUCCCAUUCAGAUAAUAAAGAUUAAUAAAGAUCAUACACAUUCACUGACUGAAGAUUAUGUAAGGAAAAUGUACAUUUCUCGCUAGAAAAGUCAUUAGAAACGCGUUUAAUGGUGUAUCUGUCCUAAAAUAUUGCAUUUCCCAUUCAGAUAAUAAAGAUUAAUAAAGAUCAUACACAUUCACUGACUGAAGAUUAUGUAAGGAAAAUGUACAUUUCUCGCUAGAAAUGUCAUUAGAAACGCGUUUAAUGGUGUAUCUGUCCUAAAAUAUUGCAUUUCCCAUUCAGAUAAUAAAGAUUAAUAUAAGCUACGCCGUGUUCCGGAGCCGCGGGGGAUUCUGGGAAUUGGGGUUCUCAGUUGACAAAUGGGGCUUUUGUUAACUUGUUUUGUUGUUAGGAUUAAGUGGGGUUAAUGGGUUCGGGAUGUUAUGCGGUUGUGUGUUGUUCUAUUAACAUUGUUCGUGUGUUCAUUAUUGUCGACACCGUCACCGACAGUGACGUGACCAUCGUUUCGUGCAGCUGUUCCGUGUUGAAGUCUCGUUCAAUAAAAACCAACUCUCGUUGUCGAGCAUUCAAUAAAAACCAACUCUCGUUGUCGAGCGUGCCCCCCCCCCUACAAACGUGUCUCCCCCCCCCCUCAACAAACGUGUCCCCCUCCCCCCCCCCCCCCCCUCAACAA